UAUUUGACAUGCUCGCACAUGGCUGAGGUAGACGCGAUAUUUUAAAAUAAUGAGAUUCCAAUAUUUAGACGAAAAUAUUUCGUUUCCGUGCCUAAUGCAGUGUUUUGGUAUAAAAGGAAGAAGUUUUGUUGAACUUACAUCAAAGUGCACAAAGGCAUACAAAGUAACAAUACAAUAAUAUAUUUAACUGAAAACAAAAAAGAGAACUUUCCAAAAUGGCAAACCAAAAAGUUAUUAUUUUUGUGUUAAUCGUCUGUGUUUUGGCUAGUGUUAUGGCUAAGCCAAGAGAACGUUCCUGCUCAAUCCCUGCGUUGGGACCAAUCCUAUCGCCAAUCAUCUUGGCUGUUACCAAGAAUCUUGAUUUGGGACAAGUGAAUGGUCUUCUUAAUGACAUGCUGGUUUGUGAUUAGUAGAGGAUCAAAUCGAAGUAAACAUGACAAUAAAUAUGCAAUAUGAAUACUA